rnacentral:rRNA from 1 species
GGACUACCGGGGUAUCUAAUCCCGUUCGCUCCCCUAGCUUUCGCACCUGAGCGUCAGGUACCAGCCAGGACACUGCCUUCGCCUUUGGUGUUCUUCCGGAUAUCUACGCAUUUCACCACUCCACCCGGAGUUCCGUGUCCCUCUCUGGCCCUCAAGUGCUGCCGUCUUCGAGGCGCUCUCCCAGUUGAGCCGGGAGCUGUAACCCCAAACGUGCACCACCGCCUGCGUGCGCUUUACGCCCAGUAACUCCGGACAACGCUCGCCCCCUACGUAUUACCGCGGCGGCUGGCAC